AUGUACAAAUCUACCCCUCCACCAUCCCCUUCACCCCCACCUCCAUAUGUUUACAAAUCUCCACCUCCGCCAUCUCCUUCACCCCUUCCUCCCUAUGUCUAUAAGUCACGACCACCUCCUUCACCUUCACCACCCCCUCCAUACUACUACAAAUCUCAACCUCCACCUUCUCCAUCGCCUCCUCCACCAUAUGUCUACAAGUCACCGCCACCUCCUUCACCUUCACCACCAUAUCCUUAUGUUUACAAGUCUCCACCUCCACUAUCUCCAUCACCUCCUCCAUAUCAUCCCUACCUCUAUAACUCACCCCCACCUCCAGUCUAUUAA